UCGCUAUGAUGAAUGAUUGAUCAAACAUUCGUAGUUUCCACCAGAAGCUUAGCUGCUGAUGGCCUGACUUCCUUGGAUGUCUGAGCGA
rnacentral:snoRNA from 1 species